rnacentral:lncRNA from 10 species
CCAUGAUGGUCCAAGUUAUAUUGGGAUUCAGCCAAUAGAAGAUAUUUUGCCUGUCAUCCCUAAGCUUAGGACAAUAGACUCUGCCAAGAGAGGGGAUUAUUACAUAUUGCAGAGCCCAGCACCUAGGUGGAGUGACUCUCAUCUUUUUCUUCUACCCCGUAUAUAGCCAGCUUGGUGACCUACUAUUUGAGUCUAUACCCAGGCCCAGACCACAGAUGAAAUUGUGCAAUAUGUGGAACAAACACCUAAACAAUAUAUAACACCUUCCUUGGCUCUGUCUACAAAGGGCACUUUUAUAUAUCACUGGGACCAUCAACCAGGUGAUGUUGUGCCAUAUAACUGAGACCGUAUCAAAAGCCUAAUAACAAGACGUAUGUCUGGAGCCCCGAUAUGCACAGGAUGGUGAUAUAACCCUCUUCUCUGGAAUGGGCCCCACACAAAGGAAGGAUAGUGACAUAUUGCAAGCCCAGGCACACAGGCCCAGAGCACAGUUGAAAUUGUGACAUAUGUACACCAAGCAACCAAGCAAUGUAUAACACCUCAUUUGGCAAUGGAAUCGAGGGCACUUUUACAUAUCACUGAGACCAGCGCCCAGCUGAUGUGAAAUAUUGGCCUGAACCCUGCCUACAAAAGCAUUGUGGCUUUUAUCUAGCUCCAUUACAUAAGUGAUGUGACUUCCUUCUACUGCCUUGGCCCUGCACUUAUGGUGAAUCGUGACACAAAAUUGGGUAGAGCAACCAGCCUGGGCCCUGACCAGCACAGAGAUUGAGGCAUAUUGCUGAACCCAGGACCAAGAUGAAGUCACUCUCCUGCCUUGAUCCUGCACACAGGGACCCUUGUGACAUAUAUACAGGCCAAUUGCCUAGUGGACAUGGUGUCAUAUUACUUGAGGCUGUACCGAG